UCAUUAUCGAAGUCUCUUGAUGGAUAGAUGGCGCGCCUUACUUAAAUAGGGCAGUGGUACUGUUUCUGGCUUUCUCUGUGCCUUGAUGAUUUGCACGUCCGUUAUCGGUGGAGUCCAACAUUU
rnacentral:rRNA from 1 species